AGCAGCCGCGGUAAUUCCAGCUCCAAUAGCGUAUAUUAAAGUUGUUGCAGUUAAAAAGCUCGUAGUUGAAUUUCGGGAUUGACGUGAUGGUCAUGCCUUAAGGGGUAUGAACUGUUACAGUUAAUUCCUCACCUUCUGGAGAAACUUGAUGUCCUUUAUUGGGUGUCUUGCGGAUCCAGGACCUUUACCUUGAAAAAUUAGAGUGUUUAAAGCAGGCAUUUUUGCUCGAAUACAUUAGCAUGGAAUAAUAGAAUAGGACGGCAUGGUUCUAUUUUGUUGGUUUCUAGGAUCACCGUAAUGAUUAAUAGGGAUAGUUGGGGGCAUUAGUAUUCAAUUGUCAGAGGUGAAAUUCUUGGAUUUAUUGAAGACUAACUACUGCGAAAGCAUUUGCCAAGGAUGUUUUCAUUAAUCAAGAACGAAAGUUAGGGGAUCGAAGACGAUCAGAUACCGUCGUAGUCUUAACCAUAAACUAUGCCGACUAGGAAUCAGACGAUGUUAAUUUUUAAUGUACUCG
rnacentral:rRNA from 1 species